UACGUAGGUGGCAAGCGUUGUCCGGAUUUACUGGGCGUAAAGAGCGCGCAGGCGGUCGUUCAAGUCGCGUGUGAAAGCCCCCGGCUCAACUGGGGAGGGUCACGCGAUACUGAUCGACUCGAAGGCAGGAGAGGGAAGUGGAAUUCCCGGUGUAGUGGUGGAAUGCGUAGAUAUCGGGAGGAACACCAGUGGCGAAGGCGGUUGCCUGGAGCUUUGCUGACGCUGAUGCGCGAAAGCGUGGGGAGCGAUCCGG
rnacentral:rRNA from 1 species